CCCUCUGCCCCGCCCCUCGCCGGCCGCCAUCCUGCCUCCUGGCGGCCGCGCGCCGCCGCGGAGAUGGCGGCGGAGAAGGGGCGCCUCUGGCUGGGCCGCGGCGCCGGCGCCGGCCGCGAUUGGCGGAGAGCCUCGUCGCUCCUGAUCGCCGCACAAGUGGCUCUUCAGAAGACGGAGAGGCUGAAGCUUCACCUUGGACUCUUUGCGGUCCCUGCUCUGCCCCAGCAGCCCCGCGGUCGCCCCAGCGAGCCUGGAGCGAUGCCGUGCCCAGGCAGAGCAGCGCACACACGGGGCGAGAGCCACCGAGCUCCAUCCCGGAGGAGGCCAGGCUGCACCGCUCUGCGGCUCGUGGGUGCCCAGGACAUCUCAUGGACCUGCCUCUCCUCCUGCCGCCCUCUCUGCAGGGCA